rnacentral:rRNA from 1 species
UACGAAGGGGGCUAGCGUUGCUCGGAAUCACUGGGCGUAAAGCGCACGUAGGCGGCUUUUAAGUCAGGGGUGAAAUCCUGGAGCUCAACUCCAGAACUGCCUUUGAUACUGGGAAGCUUGAGUCCGGGAGAGGUGAGUGGAACUCCGAGUGUAGAGGUGAAAUUCGUAGAUAUUCGGAAGAACACCAGUGGCGAAGGCGGCUCACUGGCCCGGUACUGACGCUGAGGUGCGAAAGCGUGGGGAGCCAAACAGG